UUUGUAGAAAGCAGUAUUUGCUGUAAGAUGAUUAUUCACCUGUAGUAAGUCAUCCAAAAGGCCAUUACAAGAAAGAGCACAUCCUCAAGCUCCCUCUGUAUUUCUAAUAACAUGAGAAUUGCGUCCGACGUGAGAGGAUGCUGCAUAUGCUGCAAUCUUAGAGGUGAACUGUGCAGGCUGGGAAGCACACAGAGCCACAGCUGAGGAGAGGAAGCCACACCAAGGACACAUGUACGAGAGUGAAAGACGCAGCUACGAUGACCAGCAACCCAUAGGACACGUCUGAGAUCAGACAUCGCAGAAGCACUUCCGUUUUGAGAAUCCCUGGUUUCUUUGCUUCCAUCCUGACUGUCUCGAUGUUCCCUGUCAGGACAGGUUCCAACCAUCUCCGUGCUUUUCCAGUUUGGCAGUCAGACUGGGUCGCUGGGUUCCUGUCUUCGAAGAAGAAAACAACAAUAACAGCAACAACAACAAAACAAUUUCCUUUUUUAGCUUUGGAUGACCACUUGCUGCCUCUGAAAUUCCUGUUCUCUGUCUCAUUCUCCUGCACCCAUUGUUUCUCCAUUGAGUUCCUCCCAUCCCUGUGAACACAUAUAAAAACCCCAAAUGUAAAACACACUUUACCUGACCCUGAGAUUUCGUUUAAAAUACUACUCUUCUCCUUAUUCAUCAUGUACCUCAUCCAAAGAUCCAAGUACAUUUGGCUUUCUUUGCU
rnacentral:lncRNA from 1 species